rnacentral:rRNA from 1 species
AUAUCAGUCAUGCAUAGCAUAUCAAUAAGCGGAGGAAAAGAAACUAACAAGGAUUCCCUUAGUAACGGCGAGUGAAGCGGGAAGAGCUCAAAUUUGAAAUCUUCAAGGUUCUACCUUGACGAAUUGUAGUUUAUAGAAGUGUUUUCUGUUAGUGGAGUGGCAAAAGUUCUUUGGAAUAGGACAUCAUAGAGGGUGAGAAUCCCGUAUUUGGUCAUUCCUCCUAGCGUUGUGAUACACUUUCAACGAGUCGGAUUGUUUGGGAAUGCAGUCCAAAAUGGGUGGUAAAUUUCAUCUAAAGCUAAAUAUUGGCGAGAGACCGAUAGCGAACAAGUACCGUGAGGGAAAGAUGAAAAGAACUUUGAAAAGAGAGUUAAACAGUACGUGAAAUUGUCAAAAGGGAAGCGUUUGACACCAGUGUUGUUUUUCCGAAAAUCAAUUACGAAUGUUUUAUUUUUGAGAAGUUAUGACUUCAUCGGCUUGCUUCUUUCUUUAUGAAACUUUCUUAAUGCACUUUUCGGUUAACAAGUCAACAUCAAUUUCUUUUGUUGUAAAAGGGUAUGAGGAAGGUGGCUUUCUUUUCGGAGAAAGUGUUUAUAGCCUUGUGCCUCUGCAAUCGGAGAGAUUGAGGUCUGCAGCGUAGAUCCUUCGGGGUUAGAUACGUUUGUGCUAAGUUAUAGCUUUUCAUAGACAACUUGUUGACUAUGUUUAGUCUUGUAGCUUACUCGCUUAUGCUAUUUUACCUACGCUUAGGAUGUUGAUCUCUCACAGUCAGC